CACGUAGUUAGCCGUGGCUUAUUCAUUCGGUACCGUCAUUUGUUUCGUCCCGAAUAAAAGAAGUUUACAACCCGAGGGCCUUCUUCCUUCACGCGGCGUUGCUGGGUCAGGCUUGCGCCCAUUGCCCAAUAUUCCCCACUGCUGCCUCCCGUAGGAGUCUGGGCCGUGUCUCAGUCCCAAUGUGGUCGGCCAACCUCUCAGUCCGGCUACUGAUCGUCGACUUGGUGGGCCGUUACCCCGCCAACUAUCUAAUCAGACGCGAGGCCAUCUUAGAGCGAUAAAUCUUUGGCAACCAAAGCCAUGCGACUUAGUUGCAUUAUGCGGUAUUAGCAGCUAUUUCUAACUGUUAUUCCCCAUCCAAGGCAGGUUCCUCACGCGUUACUCACCCGUCCGCCACUAGGUAUUCCUAUCAAUUGGCCGAAGCCUCUGUCAAGGGUACCUCGUUCGACUUGCAUGUGUUAAGCACGCCGCCAGCGUUCAUCCUGAGCCAGGAUCAAAACUCU
rnacentral:rRNA from 1 species